UCAGGUACUGGUGACCAACGAUCUCUGAGGAAGAAGGAGACCCACAGCCUACUGUAAGUGACGGAGCCGGAAUAGAAGCAGUAACAUUCUUACACGAAGACAGACUACUUCCAGAACUGGUGAAGCCAUGAUGAAAGAAGAGGAGAAGAAUCAGAGGACCUGAGAACAGCAGUCAUCUGAGCUUGUCUUCUGCCUUCUAUUGGUCCUCUGAGGAUAACUACAAAGGCCGAGGACCAAGCGGCUCCCGGUGCUGCCACUGACAUCUGUAACACUGAUUUGACGCCACUGCAUUUCGAGGCCAGGAAGUGUGCUAUCACUGCAUCUGGAACCCUUGUGGCCUGGGAGAAAGAGAUGUCUUCUACCUCUCAAUACCUCUUUUUUAAGUUGGCGGAGAGGAAAAGGAAACCUGGAGUCAUGCAGCCUCUAGUGAGGGGUUGAAAAUGUGGGUCAAACCACAGACUACCAACCCUGUCCUUAUGACGUCACUUGGUAAAUUGACUUGGAACAAGCUUCAAAGCACUUCACAGACAGACCCAGGAGCAAAGGAGCUGGCAAGAAGAGCUAUGAAUCAUGGGAAAGCAGAAAAUGGCUGUGGGUGGUGGCCUUUAUAAUAUAGCCCUCUGAGGGCAAAGGAAUAUUGUGAACAAGAUCUAAAGGAAGAGAAGGAGCACGCUAUCAGGUAUGUGAUUCCUGUACUGGUUAUCAUCAGGAAGGGGCAUGCGUUGAGGGUAUUCUGGGUAAAGCAUGGACAUGGCUGGAUUCAAGUGAACAGAGAAAACAGGUCAGAGAAGGAAUUAUGGUAGUUGGGGAGGUACGGCAGAUCAUUUCAGUGGCUUUACUGACCACAUGAAUAUGUUAUUCUGAGUGAACUGGGAAGACACUGUGGAGCUUCGUGGAAGAGUGGCAUAUUUUGGCUAGUGUUUUAAAAGCAUUAUGCCAGGUAAAAAGUGACCUGGGCCCAGAUCAGAUCAUGAAUAUACCCCAUAUCUAAGAAGGGCCACAUUUCUAAAAUAUGGUAUAUGAAAGAGAAAAAUUAGGAUUGAUAAUGAUAAUGAGAUUUUUCCAGGAUGGAAGGAUAGGACUAAUAUUUUGCCGAUCUGGAGAAGACCAUGAAUUGCUGUUUUGGGACACAGUAUACAUUCAAAUGAAGAUGCUUAUUAGAAAAUUAAGCAUAUGAAUCCAGCCUUCAGGAAGGAGGCCGGGAAUGGGGAUGAAGAUGUGGCUGAUGCCAUUAUAUAGGUGAUUUUUAAGGCUCCAGGAUGGAAGAGAUUCACCUGGAAAGGGGAUAACCAGUACUAGCUGCUAGCACCUGCCGACAAAGGGGCAAUUCCAGUGCACAGGAGCGAUCUCGGGAAGCAUUUCCUGGCUGUGUCAAAGGCCACAGAUAAGCAGCAUGUGGCCAGAGACCUGGCUGCUGCACUGGACAGGGAGGCAGCCACUAACACCCUUAGCAAAGCCUCUGUCCUGGGGAUGAAAGACUGAUUUAAAAUAGCUCAAAAGGCCAAGGAAAGAAAUUCAGUUAGUGCGUAGACACAAUUCCUCCAGGGCAGUUUUUCUUUGCAGGGGAGCAGACCAAUAAACGGAAGUGAAGUGGAGCUGUGGGGCCGAGGAGAGGGUGUCCCAGGACACCGUGUCACUAGUGGGUGGACUCCUCCCGCGGAGUGGGAGAUACUGGUGUGCUAAAGGGAAAGGGGUCUGGGUGGAGCACAGCCUUUGUCUUGGAAAGAUGUGUAAGACACACCACGGGCCACCGGAAGAGCUUCCCCCUAUGGCUCUGGGAGCUUCUAUAGUCUACAGUCAUUGAUAAUAAGUUUCGCCAGCCGAGAUCAGGACAAUGAGAAGCCAGGUUAUUGUAGGUGUGUCUAAAUGGAUACCCAAGCCAUCAAGCAUUCAGAAGGGCAGUGCUGGAAAUGGCAGGGGGCUAAGGGCUGAAUACGUGAGCAACACGGGACUGGGGGGGUGCUCAGGGACCUUCUCAGGGGACGAAAGGCUUCAGAGGAGUGGGUAUUGGGAAGAGCAAGGUGAAUUUCAAUCUGGAAACGAGGAAUUAUCGUGUGUCUUGUUCCUAUUAAUAGUCCAUCACACAUACUUCCUCUGUAACAACGGAACAUAGCAGGUCUCAGGUUGUGGGUCUAGGGAAUCUUUGGUGUAGAGCUAACCAAAGUCUUCCUGACUGCAGCAUGAGCAUCAUAGAAAGUACUUCUUGAAGAACUGUUGUAGAAGUGAAGGAAAACAAAUACUUCAAAGUUUCAACUGGAAGAAAUUUUCAGGAAGAUACAUAGGUACAACUUCAUCCAGUUUUGCAGACUUUCAACCAUUCAAAACACAUUUGGAAAUGAGAGGUUUAAAAAUGUAAGCAAUCAUAGGCACAGCAAAGGAGUACUUUCCCUCCUAGUAUUACAGACUUGCUAUCUCUCUACAGCUGAAAUGUAAAGAGGGAAAGUCUGUUUGAAACAUGCAGUUUUGAAAUGCACUCAGCCUGCUGUCCUUCCCCAACGCGUGAAAGUCUGACUUAGGGAAAUGUCUCGUGUUCCUCAAACAAACCACAGCGUGCUUUAGCCUGGGGGAAGGCAUAGCAAAGGUGCAGCUGAGGCUCGGGUGUUUGCCGGGACCAAUAGGGAUCCAUGGCUGGGAACGGCACUGCCUUCCUGACAGCGUUGUUUGCGAGCCCAUCAGAGAUAAAUCAUCAACACCAAACUCACGCAGGUGAGUGAGUGGGUGCAAAGACGACCACACACGGCCGGAGGUCGGAAAGCCGGGGAACUGUUUUUAUUUCCAAUUGUGUUUUCUAGAUUUCACCCGAAUGUUUAGCGGGAUUUUGAUCUGACUUGAAAUAGUACAAACCUUAUCCAGGGAUCUUCUGUCUAGAAACUUUCGGGGAGAUCUUUGUUGUUCUGUGUUGUGUGCAGAAGAAUGAAGUUCAGUGCACAGUGUCAUGAUCUCAGAUUGUUUAAUGCUGUGCAAACUGUUGACUAUCACAAAUGUCUAUGGAGGGAUUUCCAGAACAAUGACGCAGUAUGGAAAUAACACAACACUAGAAAAUACUUGGCAAAAGUGUACAUGUUGUCAGCUGGGGACCUGCAAACUGUGAAAAGCUUUUACUCUUUGUUGGGCUCUGGAAAAGAGAUCCUUUAAGUUGACACUGUGUGAGACUCAUGGGAAGACAGCUCAUUUUAGGGUCCCUAAUACUGCUGUAGUGAGCAAGGCCAAAUACAAUGGCAUCUAUGAGAAAUUCCAGCAGGUAAAUAAAAAAAAUUGGACUUUAGGGGUUAAAUUUUGUGUUAUAAUUAUGUAGUCUCAGGGAAAGCAAGUUCUUGGCUUGUCAGAUGGUUCGUAUGCAUUGUCUGAGACAUUUAUAUUUCAUUUUUCAGGAAUGAACUAAAAGGUAAUUAUUAAUUUACAACUGUUGAGAUGGCCAGAACAUAGUACCAGAGAGUCUCUGGAGUGUUUGGAGCAUGGGAGAUUUUCUCAUGCUUUCCUGCAAUGUGUUAUGGUCAAAGUUUCAUCAACACCUAUAUCUUCCUUCUUAACAAUGACACAGCACACUGUAUAUGGUAAAGCAGUCAGCAUAAAGGCGAUGGUGCCCGUGCACGUGGACUUUCCGAGACAGCACACACAGAGCGCUUGCACGGUUCGAGGCUACGGGGACAUGAACUUGUACACACAGUAGCAGGGAAAGCAGUUUCAAAAGGGAACCUUGUGACUGUGGAGUCAGACUUUGGCCCUUCUUUGUCAAUGGACAAAACCCAAAUGGCUCAGGCCUGAGCAUCACCCCUCUUUCUAAACGACUGCACAGGAGAGACCAGAGACAAAACGGUCAGUGCAUCACGAGAGCAGACAGAAAACUGUUAGAAGCAGAUAGUGACAACCAGAAACUACAGUGACUUUGAAAAAUGUGCACUUGGUGCGAGGUCUGUUAGGCGUGUACCCCAGGAAGCGAUGGUGGGUAAUGUUAGAGGCACAGAACCCCAUCUAAGUGGCCUUGUGAGAGUUUGCCCUAAUCUUAAUGUACCCCAUUGAAUAAGAAUCAUGAUAAUACAAGCAAGUCUAGGUCUUGAAGUUUGUUUAAAAUUCCCUAAGAAAAUUCACUGAGCUCCAUCUAACUAGAGCUAUCAAGUUUCUUGUGGUACUUAAUGUAAGUUGUUGUUUGUAUGUUGUGGGAUGGCCAUAUACGAUCUGAAUGGAAUCAGAUCAAGCCAUCUCCAUCAUUCACUGGAUACAGGAAUCCAAACUACAACAUCCUGGCCAGCACUGAAGCACGAUGGUCUCUUUCUAGGUCCCAGCCAAAGCUAUGGUGUGGCCUUGUUCAGUUAGUUUGCUGAAUGGUCAGCAGUUUAGUGUGUUGAGGAUGGGCAGGUCUACUAAAGUUUAAUUUGGGGGAAGGCGGUUUUUCCUUGUAGAAAAAUAGAAACCUGAUUAAUUUCUAUGAACAAAACCUUCUUAAAGGAAAGAUCAAAACAGAAGAAAUUUUAAAUUACACUAAGUAAAGAGAUCUCACCCACCAGAAAAAAUAAGCAAACAAAAGGAAAUCCACCCCCAAAUUUGGGAACUGUAUAAUGAACCCCAAGGAACCAUUCUGAUAUAUUUUUGCAUGACCAAGGUCUCACGGUGUUAGGGUUGAGACCCAUCAUAAAUGCCAGAAUAUUUACUUUUGAAGGUAACUGCCUCAAG